rnacentral:rRNA from 1 species
UACGUAGGGUGCAAGCGUUGUCCGAAAUUAUUGGGCAUAAAGAGCUCGUAGGCGGUUUGUCGCGUCUGACGUGAAAGUCCGGGGCUCAACUCCGGAUCUGCGGUGGGUACGGGCAGACUAGAGUGAUGUAGGGGAGACUGGAAUUCCUGGUGUAGCGGUGAAAUGCGCAGAUAUCAGGAGGAACACCGAUGGCGAAGGCAGGUCUCUGGGCCGAUACUGACGCUGAGGAGCGAAAGCGUGGGGAGCGAACAGG